rnacentral:rRNA from 1 species
UACGUAGGGUGCAAGCGUUGUCCGGAAUUAUUGGGCGUAAAGAGCUCGUAGGCGGUCUGUCGCGUCGGCUGUGAAAUCCCGAGGCUCAACCUCGGGUCUGCAGUCGAUACGGGCAAACUGGAGUGUUGCAGGGGAGACUGGAAUUCCUGGUGUAGCGGUGGAAUGCGCAGAUAUCAGGAGGAACACCGGUGGCGAAGGCGGGUCUCUGGGCCGAUACUGACGCUGAGGAGCGAAAGCGUGGGGAGCGAACGGG